rnacentral:rRNA from 1 species
UACGUAGGGUGCGAGCGUUGUCCGGAAUUACUGGGCGUAAAGAGCUCGUAGGUGGUUUGUCGCGUUGUCCGUGAAAACUCACAACUCAAUUGUGGGCGUGCGGGCGAUACGGGCAGACUGGAGUACUGCAGGGGAGACUGGAAUUCCAGGUGUAGCGGUGAAAUGCGUAGAUAUCUGGAGGAACACCGGUGGCGAAGGCGGCAUCCUGGACCGACACUGACGCUGAGGAGCGAAAGCCAGGGGAGCAAAGCAGGG